rnacentral:rRNA from 1 species
AUACGGAGGGUGCAAGCGUUAUCCGGAAUCAUUGGGUUUAAGGGGUCCGCAGGCGGAUUAAUAAGUCAGUGGUGAAAUCCUCUCGCUCAACGAGAGAACUGCCAUUGAAACUGUUAGUCUUGAAUUCGGUCGAAGUAGGCGGAAUGUGUCAUGUAGCGGUGAAAUGCAUAGAUAUGACACAGAACACCAAUAGCGAAGGCAGCUUACUAGACCUGGAUUGACGCUCAUGGACGAAAGCGUGGGGAGCGAACAGGAUUAGAAACCCCGGUAGUCC